UACGGGGGGGGCAAGCGUUGUUCGGAAUUACUGGGCGUAAAGGGCUCGUAGGCGGCCAACUAAGUCAGACGUGAAAUCCCUCGGCUUAACCGGGGAACUGCGUCCGAUACUGGAUGGCUUGAAUCCGGGAGAGGGAUGCAGAAUUCCAGGUGUAGCGGUGAAAUGCGUAGAUAUCUGGAGGAAUACCGGUGGCGAAGGCGGCAUCCUGGACCAAUACUGACGCUGAGGCGCGAAAGCUAGGGGAGCAAACGGGG
rnacentral:rRNA from 1 species